rnacentral:rRNA from 1 species
AUGGAUCCUGAGCAAUGCAGAGAACUUCUUGCCCUGGAGAUGGCACUGUCUGAUGAAAGCGUGGAUCCAGCCCCCCUGCCUCUGUGGCUUUUGAAGGUCAUCACAAAGAAUUUCUCUGAAGGUAAACAAAUCGGCAGCGGAGGGUUCGGAGCAGUUUACAGGGGAGAGCUUUGGAAUGGCACGGUCGCAGUAAAGAAGCUUUUCGAUGCGAUUGUCAUUGAUGAGAAGAAUUUCCAAAGUGAGGUUGAUUCUCUCUUAAGGGUCAGGCACAAAAACACAGUACGGUUUCUAGGAUACUGUUCCGACACUCAACAAGUACCGGACAAAUUCAACGGAGCAUCUGUCUGGGCAGAACGACGGCAGAGAUUGCUCUGCUUUGAGUUCCUACCAAAAGGGAGCCUUGCCGACUAUAUUACAGAUGCAUCUUCUGAACGUCAGUGGAAAACACGAUAUCAGAUUAUCAAGGGCAUUUGUGAAGGUGUAUAUUAUCUCCAUCGGGAGCGUAUUGUUCACAUGGAUCUAAAGCCUCAGAAUAUUCUCCUAGAUGGCAAUAUGAUGCCCAAAAUUGCGGACUUUGGCCUAUCAAGGCGCUUUAGUGCAGCCCAAAGCAGUGACAUGACCAAAAACAUAGUUGGAUCGUGGGGAUAUUCGGCACCAGAAUUCAAAGAAAAAGGAGAGAUAACAUUCAAAACAGACAUAUAUAGUCUAGGUGUCAUACUCAUAGAGAUGUUGACGGGGUGUAACGGGAGCACCAAAAUUGAGGAGAUAAUUGAAAGUUGGACGAGCGCGCCUGAUACAACAGAGAGCCAUAUAUCACUCGAACAAGUAAAAAUAUGUGCUGAGAUAGGGAUACAAUGCAUGGACCAUGAUCCAAAGCAUAGGCCAACAAUAUGCGAUAUCAUCCCCAGGCUCUUUGAUGAAGCGGAAAUUUCAAACUGGUCCGCUAGAGGUGCCGUAAGCACUUCAUCGAUAGCACAAAAAAGGUCUCUCAUCGACAAGUUGAAGUAUGAGUUGAAGUUGAUGAAUUUGUAUGGAGGACAACUCCUACCGAAGCGAGUUAGUGCACUAAACGGAGUCGGAGAGACAAGCACUGAGAUAAUGAGCCUUGGGUUUACGGAUAGUGAGCUUCUGGAUCUCGACCCUCUCGAGCUACGAUUUCCUUUCGAGGCCAACAAGCGAACCAGUCGCACAUUAAGUGUAAUCAACAAGGCAGACCGACAUGUCCUUUUUUGGGUUACACCGGAUCUCACGGAUAUGUAUUGUUGUGAAGAGCACGUGUGUGCACAUGGGCCUGUGACGCCAAUGUCAACUUGCGGUGUUAGCAUCACACUUAUGGAACAACAACAAAGACCACUAAAAACGGACAGUCUGAUCUAUAUACUAAUGGUCACAUCUGAGAACGAGUCCAGACUCAAAGAUUUUAUGAAAAAUAAGACUAACUUGGAAGAUGAUUUUCCGCAGUUAUUUGAUAAGCUAGGUUGCCAGCUGCAUGUGGCCAUGGCGACAGCUGUAGUCUGCCCCCAAAGUGAAACGGCAAUAACCCCCAAGAUAAUAUUUGGCAAGGAACUUCGGGAUUUGACGACGAUGGAUGUACAUCCUACAGAACCAUGGGUUCUGGUAGUAGAGGACCAAAGGGAAGUUUCCAUUUGGAACUACCUGACACAGGCAGUAGUGAUGUCGUUUAACAGCCAUGAAAAACAAGGUUGGGUUAUGAAGAUGCUAGAUCGCUAUGACAGUGUUUAUGCGGCAAAGUUUAUCCCUCGAAAGCAAUGGUUUGUAACUGGGGGAGACUCUGGGUACCUCAGUGUGUACUCGUAUGUUACAAUGACAGAGAUAAAGAAAUUUCAAGCUUACUUUUUCUCUCAUAUCAACUGUUUGGCGGUUCACCCAACGUAUCCACUGCUGAUAACACUGUCCUAUGAUUGUGAUCAAGCCAUCAGGCUUUGGGACUGGGAAAAGGGCUGGCAAUGUUCCCAGAGAAUUAGCAAGGACUGGGCACCUGGAUUUGACACUCAGUUCAAGUUUAACCCCAAAGACACAAGAACAUUUGCUGGUGUUACUGGUCCUCAUGGAAGAACUUGCCACGUCUGGUCAAUUCAUUCUUCCAAGCCUCUCAUCACAAUAAGCCCCCCCAACUGUGACAGGGCUGUGUGUGACUAUCUCUGCACUGAUAGUCACCAACAAUAUCUAAUUACCUCUGCUCAGGACGGUGGUUUAAGUGUAUGGGAUUUGCAGACAGAGACGUGCGUUCAUACACUUGUUUUGCAUGGCAAGUUUAUUGGCCAUGUCGCUUGCCACCCGGCACUUCCACUAAUAGUUGCAGGUUCACGGGACGGGGAUCACUUGACUGUUUGCUUCUGGAACUCUACUAACUACAGGCAUCUGAAAACGGUUCGAUGCACACAUGGUGGCAAGAUUGUGGAUCUUGCCUUUAGAGGCUCAAGAAGGCUUGUCAUCGGAUAUUCUAAUGGGUUAGAAGUCCUGGAAAUCGAUCUGGAAGCAUUAUCACAUCAGCAAUAG